UACGUAGGUGGCGAGCGUUGUCCGGAAUUACUGGGCGUAAAGCGUGCGCAGGCGGUGAUGUAAGACAGGUGUGAAAUCCCCGGGCUUAACCUGGGAACUGCAUUUGUGACUGCAUCGCUGGAGUGCGGCAGAGGGGGAUGGAAUUCCGCGUGUAGCAGUGAAAUGCGUAGAUAUGCGGAGGAACACCGAUGGCGAAGGCAAUCCCCUGGGCCUGCACUGACGCUCAUGCACGAAAGCGUGGGGAGCAAACAGG
rnacentral:rRNA from 1 species